rnacentral:snRNA from 1 species
GAAAUCUCGUGUGGAACA